AAGUGUCAUGAUUGUAUUAAUCAAAGUAUAGGUCAUCGGAGAUCCCCACUAUAUUAUUCUCCAGUGAGGCAGCAAAUCAGGUGAUAAGUUGUACUGCCAGCAGAAGCCUUUGUGAAAAGUGUCUGCAGAUUCUUUUACAAGGGGAGUGUACCUCCCCGCUUCCUACGUGAGCCUUCUUCUUCAGCCUGAGAGAAACAUAUUAAUUUCAGAUUCACUGCAGCUUCAACUCACUUUGCAAUGUGCAUGGAAUAAUGAAGUCGCAGAAUUACUGCAGCUUCAAUCAGUACCUCAGAUAAAGGAAUUAGUUGCCUGACUGCCAACACACACCUCAGAGAAAAUUGCUUGAAUAGGAGCCCACUUCUGUUGCAAAAUGGUGUACACUUUCAGGGUGUUGUCCAUACUUUUCUACAUCAAGAUUAUCAAACAAAUUUGAAACGAAUUUUAAAGCUGCAUGGACUACUUUGAUGUGCCAUAUCCGUGCCGCAUUGGCUCCCCAUAUUGUUUUGUUUACACGAUUCGAAUUCCCGCGGCGAGGGUGGUCGAGGGUCGCAAUGCACCCGAUACCCGGAAUUGUCGUCUAUAUAUCACAUGAACAGCGCGAUCAUAUGAAGCCCCAGGAAUCGGAGCGAAGCCUCUUCGAGUCGCCCUCUCUCCUCCUCUCUUCUUCUUCAAUUUCAUCGCAUAGCUUCGCCUCUCACCUCUCACUGAGGCGCUACUCGUUUCGAUUAUCGUCUCCUCUCUGAGAGAGAGAGAGGUCAUCAAUGGAGGAGAUUCGGAAGAGGAACACCGAUUGCGUCUAUUUCUUAGCUUCCCCUUUCACCUGCAAGAAGGGGAGUCGAUGUGAGUACCGUCACAGCGAAAGUGCCAGACUUAAUCCGAAAGAUUGCUGGUAUUGGUUGAGAGGAAAUUGCCUUAACCCUAACUGUGGCUUUAGACACCCACCUUUUGAAGUUUCCUCAAGACCUCUCUCUGAGCAAUCAUAUGGUGCUCUUUCCUCUGGCAAGGCAAACAUCCCGUGCUAUUUCUACCGUCAUGUGCACUGCAUAAAAGGUGAUCAAUGCCUUUUUCUGCAUGACUUUUUGCCUGCUCCAAAGCUUUCAGGAGUUGCUCCUGAAGCCACUACAGGUCUCUCCAUGGGUAAAAUAGCUUUUGCUUGCAAGGAUAAGGUACCACCAUCAGGAGAGUUGCCCGCUAUAAUUCGACCUAAGGACACAUCUGAGCUUAUCGAGGAAAAUCAGUGCAAAGAGGUGUCUCCACAGCCAGAACCAUGCCCUCUUUUGGAAGAAAAAGCCCUCUCUGUUGACUCAAUACCAGAAUCUAAGGAACAUGCUAUUCCUUUGCCUGAGAGUUGUUCACAUUUCUGGUCAGAUCAGAGUUCUGAGGAACUAGCAGAAGAUUGUUCUGACACGGAAGAUGUUACUAACCUAGACGCUUCUCCAGGAUUUGAUGUGCUUGUGGAUGAUGGAUCAGAACAAUUAGCUGAUGAAGAUGAUGCUGAAAACCAAUUGGCGCAGAAAGGAGAGUCAAAGAUUCCUUAUCGUCAUAAUUUUUCAGAUGAUUUUCAGGAGUUAGCUGGUUAUGAUAAGAGCGACUUCCCAGAUCAUGAGUUCUUAUAUGACUCUUACGAUCGUUUGGGUCUGUAUGAAAGAGAAUUGGAGUUCUGUAGGGAGAAGAUAUCAGAGCGAAUGCUUUGUAGAAAAAGGAAACCUCUGUAUACGGCGUAUGAAAAUGAUGCCCGAGAUGGUGGGGAUCUUCAGGGCAAUUUGAGGAAAAGGAGUAGGCCUGAUUCAGAGAUCCUGCAUUCAUUUUGGCCAGGUUAUGACAGUAGGGCCCAACUUGUUAGGCAUGAAAUGGGUUGGCAUCAUCGUCGUAGGUUAAUUUUAGAAUCACCGAAGAUUGCAACCAUUUCACCUUUGUAUCCUAAGCAACCUCGAAAGAAGAGAAGGAAGAAGGCACAUAGGAGGAGAGGCACGAAUCAUUCUUCCAGAUCUGACAAAGAUAUUAAGCUCACAUCUCCAUUGGUGAAAUCUGCUGUAGUUACUGCCGACUUCUCUGGUCCAAAAACUCUCGCGCAGAUUAAAGAAGAGAAUGGUAGAGGCAAUUCAAAAGGCAGCGGGUCUGCGAUCAACAUACAUCAGUAUUCAAGAAGCCAUUUGUCUAAUGAUUUUGACUGGCCCAAACCAUUGAAUGAACUUCUGAAGGGUAAGAAAAGGCCUCAAUCGAUUGAUGGAAAUAAUGGAAGUGAUGUCUUGUCAGACAUAGGGAAUGAACAGAUUGCUAAUGGAAAUGUCGAGAAAGAUUAUGGGAAAUAUGAGUAUAGUUUUCUAUCCAAGACCCACAAUGGUGAUGAUGCUGAAUAUGAAGAAGUUGACCUCCAGAAAAAGCUUGCUGAAAUAUUCAGUCAAUAGCCAACUUUUUCUAGGAUGACAAUAACCAUCUUUACAAGGAAGAUGCAGUUUAGACAGUGCUAUAUUUAUAGUUUGUGGAAAACGAACUUGUAAUUUGAUGGAUUCCGACCAGUAACCUGCUCAUAGAGGGUGUGUCUCUACUUCUAUGGUCAACUGCUGUAGACAAAGUGAACUGAAUAAGAUGGACUGAGAGAUAAGCUUAGGAGGGAAUCGGAUUCAUGGGAGAAUAAAACAAGAAUGCUACCACGUCAAAUGAUGAAGAGGAAAGGAGAGCCCCAUAAUUAAAGCUUAAUAUGACACAAAAGGAUACGAGCCCUGAAGAAGGAAACUAGGACGCAGUUCCUUUUCCAAUUGGCAGGAUGAGAUACCUAUUACUCAAAAACAAAAGGAGAGGAAAGCAACUUCACAUUGCAGGGGGAACGAAUAUUUAUUGCUUUGGCGAAUUGCGGUAGCUGGGACCGCUCAGCUAACUGAUUUGCCCAACUGUUCUGUUCGACUUUAUUACUCAGAUCUAACAUUUUCCUGGAAUUCUAAUUUAAGUGAACUGGUAUUUAUUUCGACUGACGUCUUGUUUUGCGUCUUACUCCUGUUUCUCUUGUUUCUCUUGUUUGUUUUUUGAUAUUGAUGCUAAAGCAUAAAGAACAUACCAUCAAUGCUUCGACUCCUCUCCUGUGCAGAAAUAUUAAAUUAUUCGGGGGAAAUGCUGCUGUUUAAGUUAACCAUACCAUUUGAUCAUUAGUUGAAAAAUCAAAAGUUUAAGUAUAUAUGUUGGUGCCAUGUGCAACAACUGGUCAAGACUCGAAGAGCCUUAAAACGUAUGAUACAAUGUAAUGCACAAUUUUUGUAAGAGCUUUACCAUAUAGCUAGCUAGACACGGGUAAGCUAGGAAAAGAUGCAGAAAAGGAAGUAUGAAAGGGAUGGGCAGCCCUUUAAACACAAGAGAAUUGGUAUGGUAUGCUAUGCCGAUGCUUUCACUUCUUCUCUAAUCCUUGUUUAAUUGAUAUGCAUCUUCCCUCCCACAAGCAGCUGCUGCUGCUGCUGCUGCU